GCCACUGAAUCUCCUGCCUGGAUCCUCACCCCUAUUCUCCAGCCCCUGCCAGGGAUCCUUGCUCCAAAUAAAUAAGACCACUUUCUCUUCUGCUUGGAACUCUCUAUGGCUCCUCCAGCUUCAUCCAUGUCCCUACAAAGGACAUGAACUCAAGGCUGGAUUAUUUUUCUAUGGGGCUUGUAGCAAAUUCCCACAAAUGGGGCAGGUGAAAACAACAAUCCCUGAAUGACUUUGUGGAGCUGAGCCCCUAGGCCACCCUGCAUUGGAUGUGAAAUGAGUGAGAAAUAAACUUACGAUCACCCAGAAAUGGCUCUGGCUUGGGCAGAGAGAAAGGUUUGGGCAGUUGUGGCAGCUGUUGCUGCUGCUGAUCUACCCUGCAUCCAUUCCUCUCCUUCCUUCUUCCUAACAGUACCAUAGGGGUGGGGGCAUGUGGAGAAAACAGAGAACCCCCAUAUAAGGGGGCUGCUUUUUCACUGAGCAGGGCACAUUGAGGGAACUGAAGAAAUUCCUGUGUGAGGAGGCUUGUCUACCACUCAGUGGGCUAUGUAGAGGAAACUGAGAGGACCCCUAUGUGAGGUGGCCAGUCUACCAUUGUGGUGGGGCAUUCCACCAUUUUACUUUUUGUUUUCUCAUGUCUUUUCUGUUCCUCUGUCAUUAUUACUUUAUUUCCUAUUAAGUGAUUUUUAAAAUGUAGCAUGUAUACCUCUUUAAUUAUUUUUACUACAUAUUUUUUAGUUAUUUUCUUAAUGAUUGCUCUAGGGCUUUCCCUAUACGUCUUACAUUUUCAGAAUCAGCUUUAGAUUUAUAUUAACUUAAAUUCAGCUAGAAAUUGAAAUAUUACUUCAAUGCAGCUCUAUUCCUCCCUUUCUUUUAGUGAUAUUGUUAUACAUAUCUAUAAAUAUUACAAACAAAAUAAUACAUUAUUAUAGAAUUAUUAUUUUAUGUAAUUUUAUAUUUUUGAAGACAAUAUAUCAUCUUAAAUUUUCAGAAUCAC
rnacentral:lncRNA from 1 species